GAUGAACGCUGGCGGCGCGCCUAAUACAUGCAAGUCGAGCGAACGGACGAGAAGCUUGCUUCUCUGAUGUUAGCGGCGGACGGGUGAGUAACACGUGGAUAACCUACCUAUAAGACUGGGAUAACUUCGGGAAACCGGAGCUAAUACCGGAUGAUAUUUUGAACCGCAUGGUUCAAAAGUGAAAGACGGUCUUGCUGUCACUUAUAGAUGGAUCCGCGCUGCAUUAGCUAGUUGGUAAGGUAACGGCUUACCGAGGCAACGAUGCAUAGCCGACCUGAGAGGGUGAUCGGCCACACUGGAACUGAGACACGGUCCAGACUCCUACGGGAGGCAGCAGUAGGGAAUCUUCCGCAAUGGGCGAAAGCCUGACGGAGCAACGCCGCGUGAGUGAUGAAGGUCUUCGGAUCGUAAAACUCUGUUAUUAGGGAAGAACAUAUGUGUAAGUAACUGUGCACAUCUUGACGGUACCUAAUCAGAAAGCCACGGCUAACUACGUG
rnacentral:rRNA from 1 species